CUAAGACUGAUGGCGACCGGCGCACGGGUGAGUAACACGUAUCCAACCUGCCCUUUACUCGGGGAUAGCCUUUCGAAAGAAAGAUUAAUACCCGAUAGCAUAAUGAUUCCGCAUGGUUUCAUUAUUAAAGGAUUCCGGUAAAGGAUGGGGAUGCGUUCCAUUAGGUUGUUGGUGGGGUAACGGCCCACCAAGCCUUCGAUGGAUAGGGGUUCUGAGAGGAAGGUCCCCCACAUUGGAACUGAGACACGGUCCAA
rnacentral:rRNA from 1 species